AAAAAAUCUAACCUAGACUAAAAAAGCGGCCGAGCUUCCAAAAAAGGAAAAGGAGACCAUUGUCUCCAAUUCUCGAAAAACAGAGUACGAAACUAAGCAAAUACUUGUAGUUUCCUUGUAAAUCCAAACUUUCUCCAAUUGAUUCCGGGUAGCAGAACAAACUUUUUUAACUUUUCUAUUUAAAUAGUGAGAAUUCGUUCAAAGUCAUUAGUUCUUAUUCUUUCAAAGGCGCACCCUUUUUCUUUUGUAAAAAACAUCCAAAUAUAUCACAACCCCUCUUUAAUUCUUUGAUUUUCUUCUGUUUUGGUAAUAUCAAAGUCUGAGUCUUGUCAUGGCCAAGAGUUCUUUCAAGCUUGAACACCCUAUGGUUUAGCUAGAAUUUUGAAUUGGGUUCAAGAGGUUCGAGUUUAUCUGGCAAAGUUUUUUGUUAAAAAUUGUUCGUAUUAGAGAAAAAACGGACAAAUCCGGGAAAAUUGUUGUCUGAGUCUCCUUUCAGUUGCGCGCCGAGGUACUGUCAUUUUUGCCGUUGAGGUCUUGAGUAGCCGGUUCCGUCCGGGUUUAUCGGCGAAAGCUCCGGUCAAGAGUCGUCGAGUUAUUUAACCUCUUGUAAUUCCAAUUUGGUCGAUUUAUCCCAAAGGUCCGUUCUUGCAUCUUCUCGACUGAUUAUUUUGUCCAUUUACAUUAUUAUUUGUUAAUGUAAUUAUUGUGUGACAUGAGUUAGUAGUUCGUUUUGUUGAUGAUUGGAUUGUUUGACUCUUGAGUGUUUCCAUGUUCAUAUCCUCACUGCACCUGUUGUUAAUUGUGCGAAUGGAUAAGUUUGUUUGUGUUGAAUUCACCUUAUUAGAGUUUUAGAUUUUAUACAUAUUUUGUCCAUGUUCUUUAUCAUAAAUCAAAUCUAAGUAAGUAGAACCUAUUGGUGCAAUUUAGUUGUUGGGUUAUAUCAUUGUUGUUUUCUUAGCGUAGUUGAUUUUCUCCUAUCUGAUAACAAGUAAAAAUAUUUAGACUAAGGAUUUUGUCUAUGGGGAAAGAAUUUGGAUUUCAAAAUAAUGUUUACUGCUUUAGCCUUACUUCAAUGUUGGUCCGUAGUACAAAUAUAAGAACUGAGAAGCAAUUGGGCCAACAAAUUUAAUUCUAGUUAACUCAACAUCAAUAAUAUUUCAGCUAGUAUAUCUUUUUAAUUAAUAAAGAUUGUUCCAUAAUAGAUAAUUCCAAUAACUAAACAUUACCCUCUUUCUACAAUAAUUUCUAUAACUCUUGGCCUCACAAUAAUCCCAAAUUAGUUUAGGAAAAUUAUGAAAACUGUAGUUUGCUUUAAGCACGUUAGUAAUAAUUGUGACUAUGUGUACGGUUCACGUGACAUAGUCAUGAUACUUAACCCCAAAAUCUGAGUGCACACUGGCGUGACUCGAUCCCCCAACUCCGAAUAAUAAUAAAAUAAGCAUGUUGUAGAUCGUGGGUACGGUUCCCGUGACAGAAUUCGCAAUGUGUAUACAAACAAACGAGUGCGCGACAAUCACGCCUUGUUAAAACAAAUUCAUAAAUAAUUAAAAGCAGUUGUAAGUUAAAAAUGCACAAUAGGUUUUAAAUAUGCAAUAAGUCAGAUAAUUAAGCCAAUAAUAACAGUUGAGCGACUGUGCUAGAACCACGGAAUUCGGUAAAGCCUAACACCUUCUCCCGGGUUAACAGAAUUCCUUACCCGGAUUUCUGUGUUCGCGGACUAUAAAAUAGAGUCAAUCUUUCCUCGAUUCGGGAUUUAAAACCGGUGACUUGGGACACCAUAAACUAUCCCAAGUGGCGACUCUAAAUAAAUAAAUAAAUCCUGUUUCGAUUGUCACUUAAAUUGAAAAAAACUCCCUUAUAUACCCCUCUGCGGGGUAGUAAAAAGGAGGUGUGACAGCCAUAAAGAGCCUUGUUUAAUUAUAUCUUCAAUUGUUAUCCCAUCCCCGACUAUCCCCAAUAGCUCAAUUCGACCCUGACGUUAACCCCGAGGUCCCCCAUCGACCAGACCUACACCCAGGCAGCAGGCCCAUCGGUUCGAUUACUAUCUCAUUUUAGCUUGCAUUUAAUCUUUAAACUCCUUAUUAUCAGCAUCAACUACUCUAACAACUAGCUCGGGAAUAGAUCACGUAUUUUUAGAAUUCCAUCUACAAAUUUAAUUGUUGUUACCAUUUUUACGGUAAACACCUUCUUUUUGGAGGAUAGUGUUGAUGCUUCGACAUUUCACCGAAGGGGUUGAAGGCGAGGUUUUUACCCUUAGUCAUCUGAUCAGAAUGUACAACCCUCGACUGUAUCGAGGUUUAGUCAAGCUCCACCAUCGGUCCAAAAAAUCUUUUUCACGAGUGUUGAUGAUGGGAAGGACCGAGGAUGGAUGAGCAGGUUCAUCCAAGUGAGGACCUAGGAUAUCAUCCCGGCCCGGAGAAUGCCCUUUCCGGAGCGGUGGAAUGCCUGACGUAAGCGAUUUUCCAUUUAGCCGCUUUUCGACUACUCUUUCGUUUGUCAUAAUAAUCUCUUUCUGCUUUCUGCAGCCGCUGCCUGGCAUCCGGAGGUGGUCCUAGAUUUGUCGGGAUGAAUCAGGCGGUUGAUCAAGAAAUUCCCGUACUGCGUUCGGUCUUGGACCGUCCUGGCUAAGAAGUGUUGGGUGGCUAAGAAUCACGGUGAGGUUCUUUUACCGCCUAUGCUUCGUAUUUUGUUUUUCCUUUUGAGCCCUUAGUGAAAGCAUAUUGAGGUUAUUGUGCUGGAACAGGUCUUGGUGAGAAUAUGCAGAUGAGGCUGCCCCCUAAUGGUGAAGUAGGGGCCUUGGAGCCUGGCACGAACAAGAAGACGAAAAGCAGGGCAGCCGUUGCCCGUCCUGCGGUAAAGAAAACCAGGUCGCCCAAGCACCGAGCCACUAGUGGGACUGUUGCUCUAACGUCAAGGUUGAAUCCCGAUAUCAAAAGGGAGGACGAUGAUGGAAGUCUGUUAAGGAGGAGAACUAGGUCCAGUGCGAGAGACUUGCAGGUGCCCCGGUCGGAGGCUGCUGAGUCCUGAACGGCUAGCUUCGGGUGGGCUCGUGGGCCGGGGGUCCUUGAAGAGGACGUUGAUGUAGCUUCGAAUCGAACAACCGGAUUUGGUGUAGCUUCUACUAAGAGGAUCGUUGGCGUUGAUCCUGAGGGAUCGGAGCUCGGGGCCUUCCAGGAAUGUGGGUUGCCACUUGGAGAAAUCGGCGAACCGAACAACUUUAUUUCAAACUUUCUGGUUUCAGUAGGGGAACUGAGGGAUGCCUAAGGGAUGAUCGGUGCCACAGCUGGGACUCCUUCUAAAGGGGGAGACUUUAUUGCCAACAUUUUUGAUGGCGUAAUCGACAGAGCUGAUCACGAUAUUUCUGGAGCCGUUAAAGCGGUGGAGAAGUCCAUGCAGCAGGUGAUAGUCAUUCCUCACGUAUUUCUUUUGUUCUCAGGCGUCAUUUAUCAUCUUUCUAACUUUUCCGUUGUGCCGCAGUGUAAGGAGAUGUAUGACCAUGUCAUCCUUCGGUUCCACAGGGAACUUUCUUGUCACGAAAAGGAGCGUAAGAAAAUUGCUUCAAAGCUACAAGAUUCGGAGGUUUGCUCUACCCAGGGCGAUAAAGAUCUGGGAGAGCUUCAGGUCGCUUUGGAGAUGGCGCUCUGGGAGAAGGCCAAUCUUGCUGCUUAGGUAUUUUGCCUUGCUUAUACCCGACCUUUUACCCCGUACUCACAUACGUUUUGGAUUCAUAUAUUCAUUGACUUGCCCUUCUACCAUAGGUCGAGCAGAGUGGCUCGCAGAUUAGUCAGUUGAAAGCGGUGAUCUCUGGGCUAAGAGAGCGAAACAAGAUAGUGGCUGGGGAAUUUGUGACAUCCUGGGAUCUUCUCACGGACACUCGUAGGGAGAUUGUUGCUUUGGCCGCGGCUAAGUACGAGGCCAAACGAGAUGCUCCCACUUAUUGGGAGGAUGUGGCCACAGUGCAUACAAUGGUUUGUGACAUAUCCAUGGCAGCUGAACAGAAACUAAUCCAAGCUAUCGAGCAUGCCAAAGUAGAGGCGAAGAGGGAGACCCUGGAAGAACUAGGGGCUAGAGGCAUCGACCUGUCAGCUGAUCUCAAGCAGGCCCGUGCAGCGGAGGGAAGAUUGACACUCUUGAUUGCCCCUAAUAAGGGUGAAGAAGAUAGUGACGAGGAGUACUCUCCGAGUCCUUUUUAUAUGCCUUCCUUUCUACUUCGUAUGCUGCCCCACCCCCCGGGAAACGGAUAGAGUAAAGACGUUUUUUCUUUUUUGUCAAUGUAUAAAAGGAGCUUUCAUUCUGUCAGCGCUUCUCCUUGUUUUUUUGCUUUUGCAUUCGGGCAUCGGCCCUUCGGGGCCUUUUCUUUGGACAAACCAGGGCCCCAAGAUUGGCCACAUCCCGAGGUUGAAUCGACAGCUUCUCCCAAAUCGAUAUUUAUGACGUCGGGGAUCUCCCGAGGUCCCGCAGUUUUAUGAGUCAUAUGGGAGUCAGAGUGAUUCUCCCAGUACACUCCCCUAGGAGAGGGUGAUGUUAACGUGGCCAGAAUUAAUUGGCCCUCUUGGGCAAGCGAGCAGUUGUCACUUUACUUCUAUAUAUUUGCUCAUCUGCCUCAUAAGCGGCGAUUUUGCAAUUCAUUAUAAGCCUAUCUUCUCUGCAGAGCCUGGCGCUUUGUGCUAGUCCUUCCGCUUCCCAGUUUCAGAUUUUUUUUUGCCUGGAUCCUCAUCAUCUUCCCCCUAUUCUACCGUAGCCAUGGCCGCUGCUUCGAAGCCUAAUCCUUGGAUGAAGGGGAGUCCCUCUUGUGCUCCACCUUUGGUCGGUACUAGCGGCUCGCCUCCGAUGUCGGGAGAGCGAGGCUCGGUGUGUCCUGCCUCGAAGAGGGUUGUUACACCAGGGAGGCCUUCUAAUGUUCUGGCCCAUCGAGAGCAUGUGUCGAGGAUUAUUUCAUCGGUAAGGGAGAAAAACCUCGAGAUGAUCAGAAAAGAAUGUGGAUGGGGGGAAGGCACAAUUUUGCAAGCACCUUCCCCCGAGGAGAGUGUCAUAACAUAUGUUGAGGGAUUAUUGAGUGUGUAUAUUCACGUUCUUGCACCGGGUUCCCCGGACUGGGUCGUGCUUGAUUUUUGUAGAAGAUAUCAAGUAACAUUGGCGCAGGUUCAUCCCUUUCUUUGGAGAAUAGUGCAGUCAAUGAGAUAUUUUGCCGACACGGCCGAGAUAGAAUUCACCCUCAGCCACCUCGUGAGGUUGUACCGGCCAUUGUGCUAUCGGGGCCUGAUUGAUCUUCAGCGUAGAUCCAUCCGAGCUUCUGUACCGGCUAUUGCGCUAUCGGGACCGUGGAUGGAUGAAUCGGUUCGUUCGAAUCUGGACGACCGACGUUAUCCCUAGAGAGUUUUUACUAUUUCUUGAGAAAUGAAACUUUACACGUAAGUGCUCCGUUUGAACUGCCUUUAUCUCAAUAUGAGGUUGGCCCCAUAACGAUAUCUUUCUGUUCUUUGCUUAUAGCAACUCAUUGGUUGCCCGGUGAGGUCCCCAAUUUAGCCGAAUGGUCGCGUAAGCUGGCAGCUUGCUCGAUUUAUGAUAGGCGCCGGUGGCGAGAUUUAUCAAAAGGGAGAUGAGAUGCGAAACAUCAUGGUAGGUGCCUGGAGUUAUGCCCCCCUAAGAGAUGGCUUCCUUCUUUCCGGCUCAUCUGAUUUAUCUGCUACAGGUGCCGGGAAUCCUUUCGAAGUGAGGCCGAGUUCCCCAAGGGAGGAGGAAAGAUUGCUGGUCCCAGGGUCAAGGAGUGCCGGUAAAAGGAAAGAUGCUCCGGGUUGCGAGAAGACUUGUAGUGAGGUGACUUCUUUGCAACGGUUAAGGGGAAACGAUUUGGCUGACCGGCAAUCUUCUGGGAUUGGUGCACCGUCGGACGUUGUUUCGGCCAUCGGCGAGGCUCAGCACUUUGGCCUUAUGGUGAGUUUCGGCUGCUGUAAGGAUGUUCUGGCCCUGCGCUCCUCUCUUUUAUCUUUUUAUUUAUCUGGCUUUCUUUCUUAGGCUUUUGAUAGGCUCAAAGCCGAACUACUUCAUUGUGAGGCCCCGUUGCGGGAGGCUCGAGAUAGGGAGAUCCCUCAAACUUCUUUGUGCGUCAAAGGAAAGCGAGCUCGUCUCUUUACGGCAUGAAGUGGACUAGAGCAAGGCCCGGGAGGCCCUCUUAGAGAAAUAGGUACCCUGCAUUUCGCGCUGGCCUGCAUUCCCUUUUUAUCUCCCCGCCUUGAUAUUUUGCUAUUUUAGUUGAAGGAUAAGGCGGAUGAGCUGGAACAACUCUAGGGCAAGCUUAGCAAAGCCAAACGUGAAUUCAACGAGCUGCAGGCGCAUGUGAAUACCUAUUCUGUGGCCAAAGAGAGGGCUCAGGCCGGGGCUUCUACUCUUGAGGCGCAAAUUCAGACCGCCCGUGUGAAUGAUUAUGCUCGGGCAAAGAUGAUCGCAAGACUCUCAUCCAAGCUUUCAAGGGUGAAAACCGAGGUGGUGAAUGUCUGGGCUGAGGUUGUGAUGAAUAAUAACAGGGCGGGACAGAAAAUGGUGGCUUAUUCAAGAAGUGCUACCGUUGCUAAAGUUGAGUUGAAGAAGACCCUCGGUCGUGCAAACAAUAGCAAGGAGUAUGUGAGGUGCAGAUCCAGGAGGGAAAUCUUUGAUGAGAUUCACGCCAGGGGCAUCUCUCGGGGGAUAUCGAGCAAGCCAAAGGAGAGGAGUACGAUUCCAAGUUCCUAUUGUCUGAUGCUGAGAAUGAUGAGGAGGAGACCGCCGGGCCAUAGCUGCCGGAAAAAGGGAAAAUGUCUAUUCCCUACCUUAUUUAUUGUGUAUAUAGCUUUCAUUAUAUGACGUAGGCUGAGAUUACGCUCCAUCACCAAUAUGUAGAAAUAAGAUGGGGAACCCCCCGCAAUUUGUAUCUUCUGUAUUUCUGCUUGUUGGAGUUUUAAUUGGGUCGAUUUGACCUCGGACUUGCCCUUAGGCUUGCGUGCUUUAACCGUCUUCGAGUUCAGUCUUCAAGUCGGGAUCCGACUUGGUCUUAAUUUACCCUCGAGUUUUGCGGUUGUAUAGGCUAGCAAUAGUGGCUCUUACGCCUUGGGUCAGAGCGACCUUCUAUAUAUGUGGCCCUUAGGCAUGUAUAGUUAACUAUUUUGGAUCCGGUCUCCGAAUCAGGUUACGAUUCGAGCUCAUUUUAAUCCUCAAGUUUUCAAUUUGCAAGUUGGCAACAAUGGCUCUUACAUUGUUGGGUCUUUGAGACCUUUUAAUGUGCGGCCCAGAGGAUCAUUUGGCUGGCGACAAUGGCUCUUACGCUAUUUUUCCCGUGGGAUUUUUAUGGACGACGUGUUGAGGCUCGUCUGUUUUGUUCCUUUUUGCUAUUUCUCCUUCUUGCAAUUGAUUUUUAGCCCGGUUGCUGAGAAGUUCCUGAAAGUGCCCGUUAUCGAGCAAUAGGGCCACUUCCUCCUGGAGAUGCCUGCAAUCUUCGGUUUGGUGCCCGUGCGAGUUGUGAAAUAACUCGCAAAUCAAAUUGCAGUUCCUAUGGGAAGGAUCCGAAUGUAACGGCCUGGGCCAUCUGGCAUAUCUGAUUUUGCUAAUGGCGAACACAAUGUCUGACACAUCGAUGUUAAAGCUAUACUCUAAUAGGUGGGGUGCCCCUGUUGGCCCUCCGUACCCGUCGAUGCCACCCCCGUUGAGGGGUCCCCGAGGGUUCUGUCUUUGGUUUACCGAUCGGCCGUUACGAGGCGAAUUGCACUUUAGAGCAUUUUUCCUAUCAUCGAGAUAUGGCUAGUACCUUUUUUUAUUCGAUCUUGAUUCCUUCGCCAAAAGCCUGCUCGGGUAUACUGAUCCCGAAGGGGAUCCAAGCUGGUCGUCCUCGACCCUGAUAUUUGACUAGUAUCGGUUGUGGACGUCCAACUAGGUUACAACGGGAUACUCGAUCAAAUUCUCUUUCAGCUGCCUUGAUGCCACCGAGCUUCGUUCAUUCAGGCCUUGAGUAAAGGCUUGCACUGCCCAAUCAUUGGAGACCGGGGGAGCUCCAUUCAUUCUGUCCAAAAACGAGACACAAAUUCUCGCAGCAUUUCAUUCUCCCUUUGCCUAAUCUUUAACACGUCAGACUGCCUUGUUGCUACCUUGAUGGUGCUGGUGUGCGCACUUACGAAGGAGUACGCUAGCAUGGCGAACGAAUCUAUGGAGUUGGGAGCCAGGUUGUUGUACCACAUCAUAGCCCCCUUCAAGAGUGUUUCUCCAAAUUUCUUCAGCAGGACUGACUCGAUCUCAUCAUUUUUAUGUUGUUGCCCUUCACCGCGCACGUGUAGGCGGUGACGUGUUCGUUGGGAUCCGUGGUCCCGCUGUAUUUUGGGAGUUCUAUAAUACUAAACUUCUUUGGAGUGGGUUUCGAAGGUGCUUCCUUUGAGAACAGCCGUUGCUCGAACUUUCUCGAAUCUACACCUUUCAGGACCGGGGGUCCUCCCAGGAUCUUAUAAACUCUAGAGUUUUAGGUCUCGACCUUUUUAUCGUUGGCUGCUAUCAUUUUCUCACCCAAUUCGAUCCUUCUGGCGAGGUCCUCAAGCAUCUUUAUUAUGGUAGGGUCGGCUACCGAUCCGUUGUUGGUUGAUCUCUCGGGUAUUUGUUCGGCGGGGGGAGCUGUUUCUAGUGCUACUGUGCUGGGAGGCUUCGGAUUGCUUUGUAACCGAGCAAUGGCCAACUGUUGUGCCUGCAAUAUUUCAAAAAAAACAUGAAGACUAACUUCAUGUUCUUCCCGGGCCAGGGUUUUUUGAGCUUCCUAUCGGUCGUUGUGCCGUAUGCUCCUGUCGGUGUGAGAAGUUUCGUCGACUUGUUGUGCGUCCUAUAAAUCCGCGUCUUCUAGAAUCGAUCCGGGCGUAUUAUCAGAAUUCUUUGGUGUCACCCCAGUGGCCGGGACAGCCACGCCGUUUUCCCCAUGAUUUUCGAGGUUGUUGUUCUCGACUUCAUUUACCGAGCCAAACAUUUUGACCUGAACUCAAGGGAUCUUGGGCAAGAAAAAGUGUGAAAGAUGACAUGCGUUUGUGUAAUGAAACCAGCAAGAAAAUAAUCACUAUUAUUUUUAGCCCCACGAUGGGCGCCAAACUGUUUACAGUAAAAAUGGUAACAACAAUUAAAUUUGUAAAUGAGAUUCUAAAAAUACGUGAUCUAUUUUUAUGCUAGUUGUUAGAGCUGGUGAUGCUAAGAAUGUGGAGUUUAAUGAUGAAAUGCAAGCUAAAACGAGGCAGUAAUCAAACUGAGGGGCCUGCUACCCGGAUAUCCCUGGCCUGACAGUAGUCAAGGGAAAAUCACUUGAGCUUUUUUGCCUUUGCUCCUUCUUUCCAGAGCGCACUAACGAAAAACCUGAGAUAAUUCUUAGCUGAUGUGGAAUUUAGCAGGCUUGGAUUGGAAGGAAGGGCUUUUCUUUCCGUCGCUUUUUGAGGCCGGUUUUGAUGAGCGUGGGCAAGUUCGGGAUUUACUAUCGCUUUCCACUUGGAGCGGCUCACCCCUUUGUCACUUAAAGGGCGAAGUAGGACUGGUUGAUGGGGGACCUCGGGGUCAAUGUUAGGGUCGAGCUCGAGCUAUUGGGGGCGGACGGGAAUGGGAUAACAGUUAAGAUAUGAUUAAAUAAGGCUCUUUAUAUCCAAUACCAAGCGAUAAAAUGAAGAACAAAUAAGACAGCGAUAAAUAUUAAAGUGGCAUCGGGCCAGUGAGAAUGAGCGAGUUAGAAAGAAGAGAGGGAGAGAGAUAUUAUUGCACUUUGUGGAGAAAAUGGAGCAACAUCAUCCUUUUACAAAGUGGCAUGGUUUCCCCUUAUAUAGAAGAGGGAAUACCAUAUAGUACAGGGUGCAUUGAAUGUAAAGAUAUGGGGAUGGGACGACUAGGCAUGGUACUAGUGUUUACUGAUUCUAGCUGCUCGCCUCGGGAAUCCCCCAUCCUCGGAACCUUUGUUGGGUCACGAACAAAUUCCCUAUCCUCAGAAUCUUUGCUGGGUUGCAGACGAACCUCGAGGGAAGGAGCUUGAUUGUAAUCCUGCAGCCUCGAGAUGCUGAUAUGACUUCCCGAAUAUACCUUAACGGCGAGAAAUAAACCCCCCUAAUUUCACCGCAUACAGUGUUCUUGUAUAUUCAAUGUUGUAAGAAUGAUAUCUUGUGUGUCCAAAAAAUAGUAAAGGUCCCAUUUAUAUAGGAGGAGGGAACCCCAUCAUAGUACGUAUGUACUUAUUACAAAGUAGAGUAGCUGGCACAGCUACCUAGCAGUCUGGUACUAUUCUUAUAGGUGAUGUCAGUUCGGACCACAUGCCUAAGGAACUUUCCGCUUGCCCUUGAUAACUAUCGACUCGUGUUGCAUCGAGGUCGAGUGUGAAGAAUCCUCGAGGCCAAAACUUCGAGUUGCGCCCCCGGGUCUUCGAGGCCUUUUUAAAGCUAAGGGAAAGACACAGUGAUCGUGAAAUCGGGCCUCCCGAUUUCACCCGUAUACAAAUAUGUAAGAAAAAAUAUUAUUGAAUAUAUUACUCUUUUAUUGUUCAAAACAGUUUUCGCCCCAUCUCCCCUUUACUAGAUUCUUAAAGCUAAAUUCAAAUGUGAAAAGUUGCAGCACAUAUAACUUGACAAAGAGGUUAGUAGUUACUAGUUAUUUCAAAGAGGUGGUUGAGUAGAAUAGGCAUCAAAUAUAUAACAAAAAUGAUCCAAAAAUAUUCCUAAACCUUACAACUAGGAGAAAAUAUAUCCUCUAUUAAUAGUUAGGCCUCUUCAUACCCUUCUCGUUACUCAACUGAAGCACAAAUACUCGAUACCCAAACAGCCGACCACUAAAAAUCAUUAAACUUAUUAUUCAACACCUUUUUUGCCACGUAGAUUUAGUUACCAGCACCCCUACUUAAUUUACUUUCCAAUUAUUAACCCCUUCCCCUUGUUUGCUUCUCCCCCACAAAAUCAAAAUACCCUUUAUCAUUUUUCCCAAUUUCAGCUGUUAGGGUUCCGAAGGGAUCAUCAUCUCUUCUCUUCGAAAAUAAUUUUAGGCAAGGUUUAAUUUCCUAUAUUCUUGGUCAAUUCUCCAUCUUUACUACUAAAAAUGGACUCCCUUCAAUGUAGGGAGAUGAUUCUUCAAGUGCCCGAAAUCGAAUGUAAGUUAUAGUUUUUAAUAUCAUUUGUCUUUUUUCGAUUCUUUCGCAUUGGUAUUGUAACGAUCCGACUGGUUGUUUUGAGUAUCUGCACUUCGCUCGGUAUUUUGUGGGCUCGAGUAUCUCCAUAUGAUGUAUUUUAAAUUAUGUAAAUCGUCAGUUUUGGUUUUUUAUUCGGGACUGAUUUGAAAAAAUGAUUCUCAACUAGGGAUCUUUAAAUUUGAAAGAGUUAACCGAGUUUGAAUUUUUAGUAUUUGAUCUCGGAUUAGAAUUUUGAUGGUUCCGUUAGCGCCGUUGGAAAAUUUUGGACUUAGGAGCGUGUUCAGAUUGUGAAUUAGAGGUCCGUAGUUGAAUUUGGCUCGAAAUGGCAAAAGUUUGAUUUUUUGGAAUGUUUGACCGAGAGUGGACUUUUUGAUAUCGGGGUCGGAUUUCAAUUUCGGAAGUUGGAGCAUGCCUGUAAUGUCAAAUGUUACUUGUGUACAAAAUUUAAGGUCAAUCGGACGUGAUUUGAUGGGUUUCGGCAUUGGUUGUGGAAGUUUGAAGUUUCAAGUUCAUUGAUUUUUAGAUUGAAAUCUGAUUCGCCGUUUCGAUGUUGUUAUGUGUGUUUUGAGGCAUUGAAGUCCGUGCUAUGUUAUGAUACUUGUUGGUAUGUUUGGAAGUGGUCCCGAGGGGCUCGGGUGAGUUUUGGAUAGGUUUGGGUUGUGUUGCGCUCGCUUUUUCUUAUGUUUCGACAUUGUUUAUUCAAGCAUAAAUGAUACUACAUUGAGCUGAGCUCCAAUUUCUAUUUUUAUUUAAGCAUUAGAUUGUGUCGUAAUUUCGGAGCCAUAGAAAAAAGAAUCAUCAAAUUUGGACAUCGUAUAAGGAGUUUAUGGUCAUUUUAUUAAGAAUUGGGUUGCUAGAUUUUUCAGAUCAAUUACAAAAUUGUCACUGACUUCGUAUUUAAAAAUCUGAACUAUAUUUAAAUAUUUAAACCAACAUAUCUCCUUCAAUUGGUCAAAUUUAGUGAUUCAAAAGUCUAACUUGACUAGAAUUUCACAAGGAAUCCAUUGGAGGCAUCAAAAGCGAGUUUUGAGAUCUUUUGGCAUAAGAAACGAGGCAGAACAGUGUUAAAACGAGAGUUUUGUUCAUUUAACAUAUUUUAAGUUGGGGAGCCCGGAAUUGGGCAAUUUUUGAAGCGAUUUCACCAUAUGAAUUGAGGUAAGUAUUCUCUACUCGAUUUUGGUUAUAUUCCAUGAAUCUAUCUUCGAUUUUAGCUUUUGGUUGAUGAAUUUUAAAGAGGAAAUUGGGGGUUUUUGCCUAAAGUUUCAUAAUAUAAUUUUUUGAGUUUUGAACAUCGAUUUGGAGUCAAAUUGAGUGAAACUAGUAUGGUUGGACUCGUAAUUGGAUGGGUUGUCAGAUUUUAUGAGUUUUGUCAGGUUCCGAGGCAUGGUCCCGGGUGUGAUUUUUGGCCGGAUUUGUAUUUUGGUUUAGGAUUCGAUCUUUAUUAUUUGAAAUUAUUUCCUUGGGAUUUAUUUGAUGUAUUUGAGUUGCUUUUGGCUAGUUUUGAGCUGUUUGGAGGUCACCAC
rnacentral:lncRNA from 1 species